GUGGCAAAGGGCUGAGUAACACGUAGUCAAUCUACCCUGGAGAAGGAGAUAACCUCGAGAAAUUGAGGACAAUAUCCUAUAUUCCACCUAUGCUGGAAUGCUUGGUGGUUUAAACGGGCUGUGAAUUGGAACAGUUCCGCUCCAGGACGAGACUGCGCGGGAUUAUGGUUGUUGGUAGGGUAACGGCUUACCAAGCCUAUAAUCUCUAGGGGCCAUGAGAGUGGUGGCCCCCAGAAGGGCACUGAGACAAGGGCCCUAGCCCUACGGGGUGCAGCAGGCGCGAAACCUCUACAAUGCUCGAAAGAGUGAUAGGGGAACUCCGAGUGGCGUAAGCUAAGCUUGCGUCUUUUGCCAAGUGUAAAUAGCUUGGAGAAUAAGGGUGUGGGCAAGACUGGUGGCAGCCGCCACGGUAAAACCAGCGCCUCAAGUGGUAUCCACGAAUACAGGGCCUAGAGCGUUCGUAGUCGGCCAGGUAAGUCUUCUGUGAAAUAGUGUAGCUUAAC
rnacentral:rRNA from 1 species